UACAGAGGUGGCAAGCGUUGUUCGGAAUUACUGGGCGUAAAGGGCUCGUAGGUUGCCAACUAAGUCAGACGUGAAAUCCCUCGGCUUAACCGGGGAACUGCGUCUGAUACUGGAUGGCUUGAGUUCGGGAGAGGGAUGCGGAAUUCCAGGUAUAGCGGUGAAAUGCGUAGAUAUCUGGAGGAACACCGGUGGCGAAGGCGGCAUCCUGGACCGGUAUUGACGCUGAGGCGCGAAAGCCAGGGGAGCAAACGGG
rnacentral:rRNA from 1 species